rnacentral:rRNA from 1 species
GAGCCUACGGGGCGCAGCAGUAGGGAAUAUUGCUCAAUGGGGGAAACCCUGAAGCAGCAACGCCGCGUGGAGGAUGAAGGUUUUCGGAUUGUAAACUCCUUUUGUUAGAGAAGAUAAUGACGGUAUCUAACGAAUAAGCACCGGCUAACUCCGUGCCAGCAGCCGCGGUAAUACGGAGGGUGCAAGCGUUACUCGGAAUCACUGGGCGUAAAGAGCGCGUAGGCGGGAUAGCAAGUCAGAUGUGAAAUCCCGCGGCUCAACCGCGGAACUGCAUUUGAAACUGUGCUUCUUGAGUGCUGGAGAGG